UGCGUAGGCGGUUUGGUAAGUUGGAUGUGAAAUACCCGGGCUUAACUUGGGGGCUGCAUCCAAUACUGUCGGACUUGAGUGCAGGAGAGGAAAGCGGAAUUCCUAGUGUAGCGGUGAAAUGCGUAGAUAUUAGGAGGAACACCGGUGGCGAAGGCGGCUUUCUGGACUGUAACUGACGCUGAGGCACGAAAGCGUGGGGAGGCAAAACA
rnacentral:rRNA from 1 species